rnacentral:rRNA from 1 species
AUUGAACGCUGGCGGCAGGCCUAACACAUGCAAGUCGAGCGGAUGACGGGAGCUUGCUCCUUGAUUCAGCGGCGGACGGGUGAGUAAUACCUAGGAAUCUGCCUGAUAGUGGGGGACAACGUUUCGAAAGGAACGCUAAUACCGCAUACGUCCUACGGGAGAAAGCAGGGGACCUGCGGGCCUUGCGCUAUCAGAUGAGCCUAGGGCGGAUUAGCUAGUUGGUGAGGUAAUGGCGAACCAAGGCGACGAUCCGUAACUGGUCUGAGAGGAUGAUCAGUCACACUGGAACUGAGACACGGUCCAGACUCCUACGGGAGGCAGCAGUGGGGAAUAUUGGACAAUGGGCGAAAGCCUGAUCCAGCCAUGCCGCGUGUGUGGAGAAGGUCUUCGGAUUGUAAAGCACUUUAAGUUGGGAGGAAGGGCAGUAAGCUAAUACCUUGCUGUUUUGACGUUACCGACAGAAUAAGCACCGGCUAACUCUGUGCCAGCCGCCGCAGUAAGAC